rnacentral:lncRNA from 1 species
UUCAUAUUUGGGCUGGAUUUUUUUUUAAAUUUGUUUCGUUAUUUCUUUUUCAUAUAAUUUUUUAACUAUCUUUCACCCCCAAUUAUUCUCUUCUUUUUUCAUGAACAGUCUAUUCUAUAUUCUUUAUUUUUUGGGGCAUUUUAUCUCUAGAUCUAUUGUGUAUUGUGUUUGUCCACUAUUAAAAUAUAUACGGUAAACCCCAGGUGUGCGCGAGGUUAACAAUUUGGGUACUCAAUAUAACUAGGAG